AAAUCCCGAGGUGGUGCUACUUCAAGAGAAGAAAAAAGAAGCAAUUAAUACAAUCUUGAUUCAUCGUGGGUGAGAUUCCCAGUCCAAGGAUUGGGCAGUUCUCCUAUUAGUAAGGGCAUCAAGGAGGGUACUAAUAAUCUUGGACACUAGCAUCACGAGUAGGGUUGAUAUAGUAGGAGUUAUCUUGUUAUUUGUUCUACUCAAUGUGAU
rnacentral:lncRNA from 1 species